CGUCAGUCAGGACAUAUUGACAUUACUAUAGGGUCAUUAGAGAGUGCGGAUGUUUGCAGAUGUAAUUGAGCAUGACCGAGAUCCAAACGUAAUUCGAUGAAAAUGAUAUGUUUACGAGCUUUAUGAUGAACACUUAAUCUUCCUUCACAUGAUGUUGUGAAGAUAAUGGUGAUGUAACACCCUUUCUUUGUCUUGCUCCAGCUCCUGCCCCAUCUCCGCCUUGGCCAACUCCCUGAUCUCAUCAUUGUUUACACCUGGAUCAAAUUUACCUCUGGUAGCAUGAUUUCCCAGUCUGUCUCUGUUUGUUUGUUGCGUCUCUUUUCUUGUGUUUUGACUGCAUUUUUAAAACCUGCCUCAGCAUUUUCCUCUAAUCUCCUAUUGUCCUUGUUCCACGUUCUGCCGAGUUGCGUCAGUCUGGACUCAAUCUGAAGCAAGGUUUCAGCCACAACGAGAAGAAAAACAGCUCCAAACUAUGAGGACGGUGGAUGGGCUACCAGAGCAGAUGUGCGAUUUUCUCAUCAUGAUCCACUCCCGUUAGAUAAGAACUGGAAUACCGUACAAGGCUACAACAGGCACUGGAAGCAGACUGGACUAAGAGGAAUUUGGACUAACUCAAACUAAUCCAGUUAACUGAAACUCUAUUUUUUUUUGUCCCAGUAUGCAACUUAGAAAGGCAGCAGAUGCUAGCUCCAGGUAUUGACAUUGGUUCCAUCCUGAGCUUGGGUGGAGCUUUGCCUGUUCUUCCAACAGCCACAUGGAUUUCCUGUAGCUUCUACGGUCUCCCAGAAACAUGUCAGAAGAUUUGCUGUCAACCUGACCAGACAAAAGUAAAGUGCUUCCUGAAGUGAAUUCGGAAAAGAAUGCAGCCUUCAAUUGAAAUAAUAAUAAAAAAAAUAAUCCUUUUAGUGCUGUACUUCUUCUAAAUCCUCCAGUUCCAUCUGAAAGCACAUUAGCCUUGAUGUUUUAUACCUAUUCAAACAGUUCAACAGUCUGCAGCCUUGAAUCAAUUUUAUGACAGCAAACUCGAUUCACCUGCUGUUUAAGACUUCUAACACUAGGGGGCAGUGUGGCACCAGCCUUUCUUGCACAUACACCAUAGACACCGGUACUUAUAAGGACA